CCCCUUUAAUUAUCUUUGUCCUGAUGCUCCUUGUUGCUUGGUUCUGUUGCUCCUUGCUGCCCCUUCUUAGCGCGCCUCGUAUACACCAAAAUAGGUGGCUGACUUGCGGUGUUGACCCCGUUGACCCAGUCCAUAACACAUCACCGUACAAUAUCAAUUUUACUCUUGCUGUGGCAAACCAUGCCUUAUAAUACCCUAUCCCUAAACUUGAACUACUUCCAAUCAGGAUCUAUCUUUCAAGCAUCUAAAAAUUUCUCUGCUAACCUCUCAAGAAGUAACCUUACCACUUGAGUGAUAAAAACCGCAAGUGUGCUUUGAUUGUAGUGACUUAAUCUGAAAGGUCUCCUCCAUGCUGACCUCUGAAGCACAAAUUUUGAAUUUAUACUUGUUUGGAUCUUCAUUGACAUACACACUUUAUUACCUUUCCAUAUUUCUUGAUUCACAUCACUGUAUUCAGAAUCUGAUGACCACUCCCCUGCAUCAAUCCAGUUUUCAAUAUUAUCUAUUUUACUACUUUUUCCACUAAUGUGCCCUUUACCCUUGUGAGCUUUAACCUUGCUGUGCACUAACUAUACCCUUCCCUUUUUUCCUUAACACUACUUGUUCUUUCUCUUGUGUCACAACUUUUCUGCCAAUAGUUGCAGAUUUGAUUGUAGGACUAGGAUUUGUUGGGGAAGAAGUGUUAAUUUCAGGCCUUGAUACAAUAUUAUGAUAAGAAUGAGCUGUGAAGUAAAGGAUGAGUUUGGUAAGUAAUUGGGUUGGGUUGUGCUACUCUUGAGAGUACAUAUGGCCCAACAGAUGGUCUACUACACUUUUCAUUAGCACAUAUUCACCCCAUCAUUCAUGUAUUUACUAUUAAGUAGCCCUUCUAUAUCUGUUGGACACUCAAUUACUGCCCUCCUACAUGAUAAAUUCAAUCCGAGCCUCUUAUACCAAACAAUUAACUUUGGAGCAAUUUUACCAAACAACACCUUCAUUGCAGUAGCCACAUAAGUCCUCACACUUUCAACAUUCAAUUCAGUCAACACACACAUCUUUUCAUGUUCAUUUUCGCCUCAACAUAAUCAGUUCUUCCUUUAUCAAAAAUAAACUUUCCACCAACCCAUAUGUGCAUGUUUAUUUAUUUGGAUGGUAUCCUAAAUUAUAGAAAACAAAUUACAAUCAGUAUUGAUUCAAGUUCAUAAAGGAGCUUUUUUUUUUUUUUUUUUUUUUUUUUUUUGUGUUAUAUAUUUCAAUUUCCAAUCAAUUACACAAAAAUAAGUGUUAUUUUUUAUUUUAUUUUUUAUUCUUUAAUUAUUUUAAAUGAGCAACUUCAACACUUUGAUUCAAUAAUUACACCAUUAAACAAUCAAUCACAAUAAUCAAAGGCAUAUUAUAAUAUUAAGGUUUAUUAAUUAAAAAAUUAGGGGCUAUCUUAUUAUCUAAUUCAUUGUUAAUAAAAUAUGAAGCACACAUAUUUCAAAGAAUUUUAAAACUAAAAUACAACACUUUACCUUUCAUCACCUCCCUUUUCUUGUUUAAUUGCAAAAAUCAACUUGCCUUUGUCAUCCAUUACACUUCACGCAUAAAAUGGUCCUAGGAGAGAUUAAAGUUGAUGCCCAACAAUACCUUUUCCUCUUGUAUGCGUCACUAACAAAUUGAAGACACAAAAUCGAUCUUGCGGAUACGUGCUGUGGUCGGUCAAUUCUUGUAUUGAAUGAACAGGGGAAAGAGAUGAACUAAGUGGCAUUUACACAUCUAGGUCAACUAGGGUCUUUUUUUAGGAGGGAAAUAAAAGAGGGGGGUCCCUUAGAUGGAUAGGUUAACAGAAAUCGUGAAUUGGUAGUGCUAGUAAGAGUUUUUAGAAAGUUUUAAAACUUUUUGGGUAGCUUUUUAUUGAAGUAGGAAAGUUUUUGGUAGUUAUUCACGAAAUCUCCUUUUUUUUUUUUUUUUUUUUUUUUUUUUUUUUUUUUUUUUUUGGUCUAAUUUUUUUCUCAUUAAAGGUUUUCUUGCCACCUUUGUUUUGUUAGCCUUAAUAUUCUUUCCCUUUUUUUCUUUUUUGAUUAAACCUUCUCUAGGCGUUGUAAAUGGAAUUAUGUAGUUAUAAAUUUAUUUCUGGUGUAUAUUGAGAUUUUUGUUUUGUAUAAUAUUGAUUCUUGGAGUUAGAGUUUUCAUUUAGUAAGAAAAGUAUGUUUAAUUAAUGUAGGAUGUCGGUAGUCAUCCCCAUCACACUGCACGUUCAGGCUGCUGCGCAGCCGCCAGAGUUGGUUCCGUUUCUACAGCCACGGCCACAGUCUCAGUCUGAGAGGCGACGGGAGACGUACGGCCUUCUUCUCCAGUGGGCUGGAGCUCUUCUGGCCUUAGCUAGUCUCGUGUGUGCAAUGUUCGCGAUAUAUAUCACCACUUUCACCUCUUCGUACACCGAUGAGGAUAAAAUCAAGAUUUAUUGGGGUAUCAUCGUCAUUGCUGCUACUUCUGUCGUGUUGCUUGUUUUGGGUUGUGUUUGUUUAGCUCGAGAGGGUCUUUUUGCGGACGUUCCUGCCCGUGCCUCUGCAGACGUUCCUGCCCGUGCCUCUGCGGACGUUCCCGACCGUGCCUCUGCGGACGUUCCCGACCGUGCCUCUGCGCACGUUCCUCCCCGUGUCUCUUCCUGCCCGUGCCUACGUGACUGCUAGUACCACGUUGUAAGAUACACAUUACUAUAUAUUCAUUUUCUCUUUUGUUUUUCAGCGUUUUCUCUCCGUUUUUUUCUUCGUUUUAUAAUGGUUUAAUAAAUUAUACACCUAACAUGGAUAGAUGGGUAAAAAGCAGGCCUCACAUGAUUUAAUACACUUAAAAUGGGUAUGUUAGGUGUAUAAUUUAGUGGACUGUGAGAUUCAAAAAAGUUUCAUAUUACAAAUUUCAACAAAAAAAUUUCUUUGUAAGUAUUGUUACAUUUUCAUUUUAGGGAGUUGUUGCAAUUUGCAAGCAUUAAAAAAUGGAGGAAGUAUUAGUUAAAUAGAUGAGGCAAAAUCAUUACAUGAAUAGGGAUUAAAGUAAAGUGUAACACUAAAAAAUAACACUCCCUUUAAUCCAUGAAUCUUCUCAAUUCUCUUCAUUGGAGCAUGUCCCAACCUGUUGGUACAUUCCUAUAUGCACUCACAUUCAUUGCUUUCUUUAGUCCUUCCAACACUUUCCGAGUAAUCUGAGGCUUUAUAACAACUUCAAGUGGCUUUUUCUGAAGAUUAUACAUACCACUCCUCAUUCUUCCUAUUCCUUUCACAAUACUUAGAUCUAAGUCCUGUAUAAUGCUGUAUAAUGCGGUGCUGUUACAACACAUUUUUCAAUUAUAGUUUGUUUUCAAGAUUCACUCUUCUAAAAUGAGAGAUAUUGGUAGUUUGACUAGGCAGGUUGAUUUGUGGAUUAUUUUCACUUUUACAACAUCAUGCAUAGUGUUAAGUAUCGAGUCAUAUGAUCAGAGGCACCGGAAUCAAUAAUCCACUCAUUUUCUACUCAUUCAGCAAUAGUUAUGCUCAUUUUCAUCUUUCUGCUCACCAAGAGAUUGUCUUGGAAGCAUCAACAGUGCUUUUAUCUACAUUAACGGGCUAGAUGUGCUUGUGCUAGACCCACCAUACUCACUCUAAUGUUACUAACCUACGAAGCUCGGACUCGGGUGUAGGUGUCGGACUCGGGUAUGGGUCCAAGUGCCAGGCUCGGAAUAUUAUAAAAUUAAGGAUCCGCGGACACGUUUUAAAAGAGUCCAAAUGUUGAAUUUGGACUCGGGAGUCGGGGACACGGCAAUUAAAAAAAUAGAGUUAGUUAAGUAAAAAUAGGUCAAAGUAGACUGUUUACACAAAAAAAUAAAAAUAAAACGGUCAAAGUAGAAGUAGAGUUGUACAUAGUACAUUAUUUAUUAUUCAGCUUUAAAAAUAGAAAAACA